GAUGAACGCUGGCGGCGUGCCUAAUACAUGCAAGUCGAGCGAACAGACGAGGAGCUUGCUCCUUUGAUGUUAGCGGCGGACGGGUGAGUAACACGUAGGUAACCUACCUAUAAGACUGGGAUAACUUCGGGAAACCGGAGCUAAUACCGGAUAAUAUUUCGAACCGCAUGGUUCGAUAGUGAAAGAUGGCUUUGCUAUCACUUAUAGAUGGACCUGCGCCGUAUUAGCUAGUUGGUAAGGUAACGGCUUACCAAGGCAACGAUACGUAGCCGACCUGAGAGGGUGAUGGGCCACCGUGAAACUGAGACCCGGCCCAGACCCCUAGGGGAGGCAGAGGGAGGGAAUCUUCCGAAAGGGGCGAAAGCCUGACGGAGCAACGCCGGGGGGGUGAUGAAGGUUUUCGGUUCGUAAAACUCUGUUAUUAGGGAAAAACAAACGUGUAAGUAACGGUGCCCGUCUUGCCGGUACCAAAGCAGAAAGCCCCGGCUAACUACGG
rnacentral:rRNA from 1 species